AUGUCUCCUUAUAUGAAACACCUGAUUCCACUCAUCAGGCUCUUGCCAGAACGGCUGUUUAUCAAUAUGCAUUCUUCAGCGAUCUUGCGUCCUUAUGUCCUCACUCUACGUCAGUAUUAACUGUCAAAGUUUGAUUCUCAAGAAAGCAAGUAUAGAGGAUGCAUGGAUGUGUUCUCGAUAUCGAGGAUGAAUCAGGUGUUUUAUAUAUAGAGACAUCUAAAAUGUUCUGGGAGGCGGGGCUUGAGGACUGGACUUGAGAACCACUGUGUUAGACCAUGAUAUUUGACUGACUGUACUGAACUUUUGUUUGCAGGAAGAUGAAACUAGUUACAAGUCAUCUACGUAUGGCAGCUCUGGAUGUACAGUGGAUGAUCUGACAGAUGGUCCUGAAAAGACGACUACGAUAGAUGGUCCUGAAAAGAAGACAAAGUUUCAAAGCCAUCACCUGAGUCGCCUCCAAAAACUUAGAGCGCAUCACAAUGUUUGUGAAGAUCGAUACUUGAAGGCGCAAAUUUUUUUUUUAAAAGAUGAACGUGAAAAGACUUUAUUUUUACAUCAGCGCAUGACAACAAAGGUUAGUUGUAUUAAAUCUUUUGUAUGGCUUUGUUUGCUAGGUCAGUCUUGUGUUUGUUGUCUUUAUGUUUCGCGCAGGUUUAAUGCUCAGUCAUUUGAUUUAAAGUCUUCAGUCUACUAAACCUCUCUCGUCCUCACCGAGCAAGCAAGGCCGCUGGGCCCAAAUUUCGCAUCCUACAGCUUCAACCCUACUCCGCCGAGCACCGGGUUUUUUCAUUUGCGUCUCACCACCGGUGGCAGGCCCUCGGCAGGUCUUGGCCGCGUCCUAGAGCGCCGGCUUCAAUCAGUUCCCCAUCCGCAUAACCGCGGAUCCUGCUACCAUUCCACCAAAUAUUUCUGUUAUAUCCACCAUCGAUUCGUUGUUCAUUUUCCCUAA